AUGCUAAUACCCGGGAUAACAACACUUAGACGCAUGUCUAGAGUUUAAAAGAUGGUUCUGCUAUCACUCUUGGGAUGGGACCUGCGGUGCAUUAGCUAGUUGGUAAAGGCAACGGGCUUUACCAAGGCAAUGAUGCAUAGCCCGAGUUGAGAGACUGAUCGGGCCACAUUGGGGACUGAGACACGGGCCCAAAACUCCUACGGGGAGGCAGCAGUAGGGAAUCUUCCACAAUGGACGCAAGUCUGAUGGAGCAACGCCGCGUGAGUGAAGAAGGGUUUCGGCUCGUAAAGCUCUGUUGGUAGUGAAGAAAGAUAGAGGUAGUAACUGGCCUUUAUUUGACGGUAAUUACUUAGAAGUCACGGCUAACUACGUGCCAGCAGCCGCGGUAAU
rnacentral:rRNA from 1 species